UACGAGGGGUCCAAGCGUUGUUCGGAAUUAUUGGGCGUAAAGCGGGUGUAGGUGGCUCUAUAAGUCAGGAGUGAAAUCCCCAAGCUUAACUUGGGAAGUGCUUUUGAUACUGCAGAGCUUGAAUGUGGGAGAGGUUAAUAGAAUUUCAGGUGUAGUGGUGAAAUACGUAGAUAAUCUGGAGGAAUACCGGAGGCGAAGGCGGUUAACUGGCCCAACAUUGACACUGAGACCCGAAAGCGUGGGGAUCAAACAGG
rnacentral:rRNA from 1 species